rnacentral:rRNA from 1 species
UGUAUUUCCUACAACGUUAAUACACCAGAUCCCAUUAGAACUUCGCAAUUAAGCGCGCUUGGGAUAGAGUAGUACUGGGAUGGGUGAUCUCUUGGGAAGUCCUAGUGUUUCAC